UACGAAGGGGGCUAGCGUUGUCCGGAAUCAUUGGGCGUAAAGCGCGUGUAGGCGGUCCGGUAAGUCCGCUGUGAAAGUCGGGGGCUCAACCCUGGGAUGCCGGUCGAUACUGCCGGACUAGAGUUCGGAAGAGGCGAGUGGAAUUCCCGGUGUAGCGGUGAAAUGCGCAGAUAUCGGGAGGAACACCUGUGGCGAAAGCGGCUCACUGGACCACAACUGACGCUGAGGCGCGAAAGCUAGGGGAGCAAACAGG
rnacentral:rRNA from 1 species